UGUAAGGAUAAAUGGUCGAACAGACCAAAUUUUUAAACUUCUACACCUAAAAAUUACCUUAAUCCAACAUCGAGGUCGCAAUCUUUUUUAUCGAUAAGUUCUCUCUAAAAAUAUUACGCUGUUAUCCCUUAAGUAACUUAAUCUUUUAAUCACAAAUUAUGGAUCAAAUCAUUUAUUAAUGAAAAAAAGUUAUAUUAAUUUUCCUAUCACCCCAAUAAAAUAUUAUAUAAAGCUUUAAAGGGUCUUCUCGUCCUUCAAAUUUAUUUAAGCUUUUUAACUUAAAAAUUAAAUUCUAUAACAUUUAAAAUAAGACAGUUAAUAUUUCAUUCAAUCAUUCAUUCCAGCUUUUAAUUAAAAAACUAUUGAUUAUGCUACCUUUGCACAGUCAAAAUACUGCGGCCUUUUUCAAUGGGCAGAUUAGACUUUAAAUU
rnacentral:rRNA from 1 species